rnacentral:rRNA from 1 species
GACGUAGGGUGCGAGCGUUGUCCGGAUUUAUUGGGCGUAAAGAGCUCGUAGGCGGCUCGUUGCGUCGGCUGUGAAAACCCGCAGCUUAACUGUGGGCCUGCAGCCGAUACGGGCGGGCUGGAGUUCGGUAGGGGAGACUGGAAUUCCUGGUGUAGCGGUGAAAUGCGCAGAUAUCAGGAGGAACACCGGUGGCGAAGGCGGGUCUCUGGGCCGAUACUGACGCUGAGGAGCGAAAGCGUGGGGAGCGAACAGG